GGGCACAUGGUGUAGUUGGUUAUCACAUCCGCUUAGCAUCAUCUGGGUUCACACAAAAAUGUUAUGCGGGGGGUGCUGGGUUCAAUUCCCAGUGUGUCCA